rnacentral:rRNA from 1 species
CCUACGGGUGGCAGCAGUGGGGAAUAUUGGACAAUGGGCGAAAGCCUGAUCCAGCCAUGCCGCGUGUGUGAAGAAGGCCUUCGGGUUGUAAAGCACUUUCAGUGGGGAAGAAAGCCUUGGGGCUAAUACCCUCGAGGAAGGACAUCACCCACAGAAGAAGCACCGGCUAACUCCGUGCCAGCAGCCGCGGUAAUACGGAGGGUGCGAGCGUUAAUCGGAAUUACUGGGCGUAAAGCGCGCGUAGGCGGUCUGAUAAGCCGGUUGUGAAAGCCCCGGGCUCAACCUGGGAACGGCAUCCGGAACUGUCAGGCUAGAGUGCAGGAGAGGAAGGUAGAAUUCCCGGUGUAGCGGUGAAAUGCGUAGAGAUCGGGAGGAAUACCAGUGGCGAAGGCGGCCUUCUGGACUGACACUGACGCUGAGGUGCGACAGCGUGGGUAGCAAACAGGAUUAGAUACCCCAGUAGUC